UUCAGGCUGCUCCUGGCCAGCACCUCGGUGCACCUCAGGGAGAGCAAGGUGAGGGUGCACGCCUACUUCCACUAUGACCCCAAGGAGGACAACAAGCACAUUCCCUGCAAGGAAGCCGGGCUGCCCUUCAACAAGCUGGACAUCCUGCACAUUGUGACCCAGGAUGACCCCUACUGACAGUGUUUGACCGUGUGGACGGACCCUGACGGUUGUUGUGAUGUGCAGGUGACGGCUUGGUGACGCAGGGCAUGGAGGACACAGCGCUGCAGUGGCUCAGCGAACGCCUCGGCCACCCAGACAACUUCACUUCUGUGAUAUUCCUGCCCAGACCAAGGCCUGGAGCACCGCUUCACGAGGAAGUAAAUCUUCAUUACCGACGAGACGAGCGGCGAGGCGGCACCGCGGCUCCAGGCGGGGCGGCGGCUCCUCCGACACCCGCGUCAUGCCCUUCAGCUUCCAGCAGCAGACGAGCGGCUGAACAGACACUCCCCGGGAUGACUGAACGACAGCCAGGCUGGACUGAAUGAUCCAGCAGUUGCUGCAGUUACACUGGGACUUUCCAAAUACAGCAACACAUACUCGCCACCUUCCUCUUGGCCACCCUGACUGUUGUACAAUUCCAUGUGUUGCAACCCUCCAAUAAGCACCUGUACCAAUCUGGAUAGAGAUGUGUAGUUCACAGUGUAAGGACAAUCCAGUUGCCAGUCAAACAUCUGGCACUGUUCCCCAAAAGAGCUGACAAACUCCGAGCCAAGUUUUUUUUUUCUUUACACUCUGGCCUAUAGCGUUGGUAGGCUUUCUUCUGGGCCCUGGUGGUCGACCCAAGCCCGUCAUGGCGCAGGCAAGUGUUUAUAGCAGCACCAUUUCUUCUUGGCUCAUGCUGCCCGCCGGAGCUCAUUCUUGAUUCACUUGGACAGUUCCUCUAGAGUUGGGGUUGAUAGGUGAUCUUCAGGACAGCACGUGGGUAGCCUUAUGCCACUUGGCAAUGACUGAAAAAUCCCAGGUGGUAGCAGAGAAUUUGAACCCGCAUUGUCCAGAACUUGGUGAACGCAGGACCUGCACACUAACCAUUCAGCCACUGCCUCUCUGUUCCAACAUGAGUGAAAAAUGAGAGGCCAGAAGAGAGUGGUUGAUUUCAAAUGGAGAAGUGUCUCGAUAGGCUGGAGGAAAUAGAUGAAGGAGGGCUGCUCUGGAGUUAACCUGCAUAUGGAAUUAGGAUAGUAUAGAGACGAGUAGAACGUUAUGUAAAAAGGGACCACAGUAGAGGUGGAGGCAUGUAGUUAGCAAGCAUAGAAGGGCAAUCAUCAUGAAAAUGUCUGUAGAAGACAGAGGGGCAACAUUGCAGCAGAGUUUGCUAUAGAAGAAGAGAGUUUAGGUUUGACUCCAUCGAGUCCAAAACAGCUAUGUGAGUGAAGCCCCUCCUAUAUGAAAUGCGCUCUCCAUACGAGGACAGACAAGGCCCCUGGAUAUCAUUUGUGAGGGGUAAAAAACUGAAAGACUAAUACAGAACACACAACUUCAAAGAAGCUGAUUUAGGAAGAAGUGAGAUGAAAUUAUGAGUUGAGGAUAGACCAAAUAUGUUUAUUGUUUAAAUGGACAGCUGAGUGUUGUCAUAGAUUAGGGAACAGAUGUUCGGAAUUCUAUCCCUCUGUUUUUAUAUCGUGUUUCCUUUCAAGCUGGUCUAUCUAUGCUGUGGUAAUCCUGCCACUGUCUUCCCCUAAACCUCUCAGCACCUGUAUUCUGUACGACUAUUUUAUUUCCCUCUCUGAGGAAAAAGUCAAUUUCUCUGCCUAUCAACUGAACAAAUUCCAUCGUCUAUUCCCUAGUCUUCGACCACACUCAGCGGUCCCCUUCCUCUACACUAAAUAUUCUCUGUCUAUCCUUAACUCAAAACAUUAACUGAAAACUUAUUUCCUCUCUUGCUAAAUCAGAUUCUUCGAGGUUAUGCAUUUGUAUGGUUUUCACCAGUUCUAUUCCCCCUCACACAUGCUGUCCACAUACAAGGGUCUUUUCUGCCCUCAUAUGGAGUAUGACAGAAGUCUUAGACAAAUGGUGGAAAAUUCUGUAGGAUCAAGGUCAUGGGCACGAGAGGAAGUGACAUCUUGGCAUACAUAGAUGCAGCAUCCAGCUUGGAUUGAAAGCUGGGAUGAAGAUAGCAAGAGACACAUCACGGCAGCCACUAAUGGACUGGAGUUGUCCAAGAAACCCCCCAAGAAAACCUACCACCACUAUUGACGAUUACUGUUAGUAGCCCCAGAGACCCGUGUUUCAGUUAAGAAGAAGAGGUAAAGGAAGAGGAGGUAAAAGAGGAGAGAUGAUGUUCUACAGGAUGGAAGCUGAAGCAAAGAUCGUGAAUGUUGCAAAAUUUGGAAAAAAAGACUGACUUUCACAAUGUAUACAACAAGCCGAAAAUUUUAGAAUACCUUGGAAGAAGGAAGGCUGGGAGGAUUGAGGCAGGCACGGGCAGUAUACUGGCAGGAGUGAGAACAGCACAGCCUCUACCAUGAUUGAGUUCAGAAGAGCAGACUUCAGGGCAUCUUCCCGUUCUGGCGCAGGCGAGUGUUUAUAGCGGUGCCAUCUUGCAUUGGCUCAUGCUGCCCCCCGGAACUCGUUCUUGAUUCGCUUGGACGGCUUCCUCUAGAGUCCGGGUUGAUGGGUGGUCUUCAGGACAGCAUGUGGAUAGUUUUAAGCCACUCGGCGGUGACUGAAAAAUCCGAGUGGUAGCGUGGGGACUCGAACCCGCGUCGUCCAUCACGCGGUGAAUGUGGGCCCAGUAUGUUACCAGUUCGGCCACCGCCUACCCAAUGGAGUAUGCAUCCCACGUGUGGGGGGCUCCACUCACACAGCUCUUCUGGACAGAGUGGAGUUUAAGGCUCUUCGUCUCA